CAGUAGCCGCGGGAAUACGAAGGGGGCUAGCGUUGUUCGGAAUUACUGGGCGUAAAGGGCGCGUAGGCGGCCAUUCAAGUUAGAUGUGAAAGCCCUGGGCUCAACCUAGGAAUUGCACUUGAUACUGUUUGGCUUGAGUUCGGGAGAGGUGAGUGGAAUUCCCAGUGUAGAGGUGAAAUUCGUAGAUAUUGGGAAGAACACCAGUGGCGAAGGCGGCUCACUGGACCGACACUGACGCUGAGGCGCGAAAGCGUGGGGAGCAGACAGGAUUAGAUACCCGCGUAGUCCCUGUCUCUUAUAC
rnacentral:rRNA from 1 species